rnacentral:lncRNA from 1 species
GCUAGGGUUAGGGUUAGGGUUAGGGUUGUGGCUGAGGCUAGGGUUAGGGUUAGGGUUAGAGUUAUGUUUGAGGCUAGGGUUAGGGUUAGGGUUAGGGUUGUGGUUGAGGCUAGGGUUAGGGUUAGGGUUAGGGUUAGGGUUAUGGUUGAGGCUAGGGUCGGGUUAGGGUUAGGGUUGUGGCUGAGGCUAGGGUUAGGGUUAGGGUUAGGGUUAUGGUGAUUUUUGAGGCUAGAGUUAGGGUUAGGGUUACGGUUGUGGUUGAGGCUAGGGUUAGGGUUAGGGUUAGAGAGCUUUUCGAGGCUAGGGUUAGGGUUAUGGUUAUGGUUGAGGCUAGGGUUAGGGUUAUGGUUAUGGUUAUGGUUGAGGCUAGGGUUAGGGUUAGGGUUAUGGUUGAGGCUAGGGUUAGGGUUUUGGCUGAGGCUUGGGUUAGGGUUACGUUUGAGGCUAGGGUUAGGGUUAGGGUUAGAGUGAUGUUUGAGGCUAGGGAUAGGGUUAGGGUUAGGGUUGUGGUUGAGGCUAGGGUUAGGGUUAGGGUUAGAGAGAUAUUUGAGGCUAGGGUUAGGGUUACGGUUAGAGUGAUGUUUGAGGCUAGGGUUAGGGUUAUGGUUGAGGCUAGGGUUAGGGUUAGGGUUAGAGUUGUGGCUGAGGCUAGGGUUAGGGUUUGGGUUAGGGUUACAUUUGAGGCUAGGGUUAGGGUUAGGGUUAGAGUGAUGUUUGAGGCUAGGGUUAGGGUUAGGGUUAGGGUUGUGGUUGAGGCUAGGGUUAGGGUUAGGGUUGUGGAUGAGGCUAGGGUUAGAGUUAGGGUUAUGUUGAGGCUAGGGUUAGGGUUAGGGUUAUGUGUGAGGCUAGAGUAAGGGUUAGGGUUAGGGUCGAGGCUAGGGUUAGGGUUAGGGUUAUGGUUGAGGCUAGGGUUAGGGUUCGGGUCAGGGUUGAUGCUAGGGUUAGGGUUAGGGUCAUUGAUGAGGCUAGUGUUAGGGUUAGGGUUGAGGCCAGGGUUAGGGUUUGAGCUCGGGGUAGGGGUUAGGGGUUAGGAUUAGGGUUUGUGUACGGGUUGAUGUUCGGUCUAGGGUCAGGGCUAGGGUCAGGGUUAGGGUUAGGGUAAGGGUUGAGGUUCGGGCUAGGGUCAGGGCUAGGGUUAGGGUUAGGGUUGAGGCUAGGGUUAGGGUUAGGGUUAGGGUUAGGGUUCGGGUUAGGGUCAUGGAUUUCGGCUAAGAAUCACUUUCCAGGACCUUUCUACAU